rnacentral:rRNA from 1 species
AUGGAAAAGUUCAUAGAUUCAACUAAUAGUGAGUAUUCUAGAGUAUUUGACUAUCACCUUGAGUUACUUAGGAGCAAUCUUAGAAGUACUAUUGCAGUUACAUUAGUCCCUGAAGUACAUGACAUGAAUGUCUAUGAGAGGAUGUAUGUCUAUCUAGAUGGCUGCAAGAAAGGUUUAUGGCUGAAUGCACAAGAGUUGUUGGGUUAAAUGUUUUUUUUUCUAAAGGUGGAAGUGCAUGGACAAAUUUUUUCUACCAUUGGGAGAGAUGCCAACAACCAGAUGUACCCAGUUGCAUGAGCUAAUGUUGAAGUUGAGAUUUAUAACAAUUGGUACUAGUUUAUGUCACUUCUUCAGAAGGAUAUUAAGAUAAAUAAUCAUGGUGAUGGCUGGGUUUUCAUCUCUGACCAGCAGAAGGGCCUCAUGAGAGCAGUAAAUGAAAUUUGACCACAAGCUGAUCAUAGAAUGUGUGCUAGGCACAUCUAUGCAAACUAGAGAAAGCAACAUAUGGAGAAGAUAUAUCAGAAAAUUUUCUGGGCAUGUGCAAAAACCUCUGACAUAACAUUAUUCAACUAUCAUAGAGCCAAGCUAGCUCAAAAAAUAGUAGAGGGGGCACAAGAUAUUAUGAAAGCCAAUCCUAAACACUGGAGAAGAGCUUUUUUCAAACUUGGCUCAUAUUGUGAUUCUGUGGAAAACGAUAUGUGAGAGUCCUUCAACAACUCCAUCACGAGAGCAAGGUCUUAUCCUGUGAUUACUAGUCAUGAGAUCAUAAAGAAGAAGGUCAUGGCUAGAAUUCAGGAAAACAGAGCAAAGCCUGAGAAGCGGAGUGGAACAAUAUGCCCUAUUAUUUUCAAAAAGUUGCAGCUUAACAUAAAGAGAGCUGGAAGAUGCAAUGUGCUAUGGAAUGGCAAACAAGGAUUUGAAGUGCAGGAAGAAGAGUACAGAAGGUUUACAGUUGACCUGGAUAAGUGGACUUGCUCUUGCAGAUAUUGGGAGCUCUCUAGGUUACCCUGUUGUCAUGCAAUCAGUGCAGUAUACACAUGUAGUUUCAGCCUUGAUGACUUCAUUGCACCUUGGUACUUCAUCAACACAUACAACCAGAUUUAUGACCAUGUGCUACAAUGA